UGUCUGUAUAGCUUAUUAACUUAUUUAUUUUACCUACAAGAGAACAAAAAUGGAAGUAAAGAGAAAGAUUUAGACAAAAAUGUGUUUCACUUUUCUUAUCAACUAAAUCUAGGUAUGCUUAGACUGUGUAGUAAUUAACAUAUUAAUAUUGGUUCUCGAGUUGUAUAUACUGUAUAUUCACGAGCUUUUUAAAAAAAAACGUUAAUCUGUACAUGUGAUUUUGGUUUUGGUUUUGGCCAAAUAGGUGCUGGAUGGUUCCCAGAUAACUGCAGAACAAUACGAGCUUAUGAAGGAUCAUAUAUUACCCCUAGGCCGAGCACCCGAAUUCUCAGCUCAGAGUGGUGCUUAAUGGAAAGGAAGGUUUGACUUCAAAUUCUCCACUCGUAGUUGUAUUGAUCGUAGACUUGAAAGCUGUUGCCUGCAGAAGUAGCAGUUGGGAGAACCCUUGUUUUCGAAACUGACUGGAGAAAACCAUCCACCGCUGACUCUUUCAGCGCUGGAAGAACGAUGUUGAAAGUCCGAAGCUUCAUUGUACAUGUUUUCGGAACAUUGAUCGGACUGAAAAUGUUAAGACUUACCAUUUUUCACUUCCUUUGGUAAUCUAUACAAAUGCUUGCUGCAAAGCUACGUACCAGAAUAGGAUGGAGAGAUGGUCUCUAGAGUUUUCUGUUUUCCUUGGUUUUGAGUCAUAUUCUAAUCUUAUCGAAAUUACGUAGAUGGAGAUUUGAACGUGAGUGCAGAUGGGACGAGCACAUUGUUCUAGUCAAGUAUUCAAAUCUUAUGCGCUCAUUUUGUGUGUGGCCUCUAUCAUUGGUAAACACGUGUUAACUUUGAUUUUUUUCCAUAAAUUUAACUUAUGUCAAUCAAUGAUAGAUUUCAGGCCACACACAAAAUAACUGUAAAAGAUUUGAACUCGAAAAUUUGAACCUGGCUGGAGACAUAAUAUGGUUUUAGUCAACUUGACUUUGUCUAUGUCAGCUCUCUAGAAAGUCUUAUUGAAGUGUAUUAUUGAAGGGAUUAGGAUAAGGAGUUGAUAUUAUCUUAAUUAAUUUUGACUAAUAGGCAUCAAAGCGUGUCUUUGUUUUGGACACGUGGCUGGUCUGAAAGUGGUAAAGUAAGAAGUUGUUAAGAGUCAAUUCAGUGGAGGAUGAUGGGCUUUGUUGGGCCUUCUCUUUUACCGGCAAAGUAUAUUCGCAUGUUGGACUAUUAGUCUGGGCGCCCACCUCAAAAAGACAGAAAUACCCUCCUAAACAUUUGUUUUAUCAAACAUUUUAAUCUAAUCAUCUGAUUUUUAUUUUUAUUUAUUUUUUUUUCAAUUUUCAAAAAGGGGGACAAAUGGUAGCAAGUCAUGGUUAUCUACCUCUUUCGGGGGCUAGGAAGACUUACAGAGACAUUUCAGCCUCUCCUUAGCCACAAGUCUGACUUUCAGACUAGCAACGGGUUUCGAACCCGAAACCUCCAGUCUUUAAUUUUAAGGAAGCUUCGUAAUCCGUCAUUUACCAUUGGACCACCAACGCGUGGUUAAUCUAAUCAUCUGAUUAAGCAAUUGGAUGUUGUAUUUCAGAGGUCCACAAUAAAGAUACAAAGGGCUAAAUUCCAAUUAUAUCUUGACAUUUUUUAAAAUUGUUAUUAGCACUAUAAAAUGAUUUUGCACUCUAAACUUAUGAUAUUUAAAAAGAAAAAUAUACUUGUGAAGAAUGCAAAAUGAGAUUUUUUGAGUGCCACUAACAGUUCUUUUUUUUUUUAAACAAAAGAAAGUUUACCUAUAACAACAUAGGCGGAUCUUUAUACAAUUCAUAUCAAACUUAAACUUAGGUUGUAUUUUGGAGAAUUAUUAAACCAAAUGAUUACAACGUUGUUCUAAAAUAGCAACCAUAUAUUAUUGUGUUUGUUUCUCUAUAAGUAAUUUAGAAAAUGAGAGUAUGAGUGACUGCCAAAAAAGUUCAAAUUGCAUGUUUGAGACCAAUGUGCGCAUCACUUAAGGGUAAAACGUUGGAGCGUAAUUUUAUGACUCAACUACUUCAAUGUGAGAUAUCAUAUUCAACUUACUUACAUGACUAUUAUGAUAAUUAUUAUAGCAAACUAUGGUGCGAUCAGAUCCAAAUUUUCCAUUGUCAAUGUAGAUAAAAAGAGGCGAUGCUACUUACACACUUCUUUUUAUUAUUCACACAUUCUCUCAAUUUUUAAUGAUCAUAUCAAAUGAUAUGAAGUAUAUUAAAUGACAGAAAUUAACAGAAAAUAUGUGAGAGUAAAAAUAAACGAGUGGAAAACACUAUUAUAAAAUUAUUUUUGGGGAAACUAACAUGUGAAAGUGUGGGUGAAAAAGUUGCCAGAUAUCAAUAUCUUUCACAAUUUGGUAGUUCCCUUCCCUUCCUUUCUGAAACUCCACAUAUAGAGAUAAAAAAACAACCCAAUUAAAAAGCAAGUUUGAAUGGUCAAAAGAAAAGGCCACUGGCUUCUCAUUUGUCAUGAGAGUUUUCAUUAUUUAUUUAUUUUUUAAAUAAACUUGUUUUUCGUUUGGAAUUUUAGAUCAUCUACAAAAAGAGAUGUCAAAUUUUGACAGCUUAUGUAGCAUUUUGACAUCUUUUAAAAUUUGUUAUCCAAUUAAUAUGUCAAAUUAAAUUAUUAUUUUAUAAAAUAAAUUGUUAAACUAAUUAAAAUUUAAAGUUUAAUAUGUUAUAUGUUCACCUUCCUUGAUUGAAAAGAAGAAAAAAAGUAUGAUAGUUAGCAUCGGUCAACACAACAUUAAUUAUAAUAAUUGAUUAAAUUAAUUAAAAAUUAAUAAAAUACAUUUAAUAAUUAAUUAAAAACGUUUGAAGCUGCUGUCAAAUUUGACUGCAAUCUUUUUUGUUAUCAAUCCAUAUUAUUGCCACAUAUAAUUUGACACUUCGAUUGUAGAAUAUUAGUUUGGUCUUUUUUUACUGUUAUAGCUGAUAUGUACAUUUUAGCAUUUCUUUCAGAUAUGCUUUUAAAAUAAACUUUUUAUAAAUUUGUAGAAUUAUUAAUAAAUUAAAAAAAAAAAAAAAAAAAAGUAGGAGCCAAUAAUAUAAAAGGGUUAUACUUUGACCGUACUGUGUUCCCAGCGCAUCACAGCCACCACCACCACCACACAAAAAAAAGCAAACAUAAACAAAACAAACAAACACUCAAAUCCAAAAGAAGAAACAAACCUAGAUCUUCUUUGUCUCUGAUCGUGGAUCUACGCCUCUGAUUCAACCUCAGGCCCUCCGUUUUCCAGAUGAUCUUCCCUUGAUCUUCGCCAAUUUCUGCUUCGUCGGUACAAGUUUCUUCCUCUGACUCUCUUCUCAUUUAAAGUUACCAUUUUUUUUCUGUGAUAUAUUGUGG
rnacentral:lncRNA from 1 species